rnacentral:misc_RNA from 1 species
CUCUGAAAAAAAAAAAAAUAAUCAGAAUCAGAAAAAAGACGAGCGAAACGCACUAAAAAUACAUGGAUAACAGUAUUCCAGUACAAAUUAACAACAGGACUACUUUGUUCUUCAAUCUUCUCAAGUGUGUAAUCCUGAGAAUACUUUUAACAAUAUAAGACUCACUGGACUACAUUUUCCCCAAUAUCCACAAACUUGGCUCUAAAAAAUUGUAUCAACAUCUAAAAGAUAUAAUUGAUGACAUUUAACAAGUCACGCAACAAAUGUAAUCCAAGUAGUUUUCUGCAUAGUUAAAAGUCAUAACGGUACAGUUGAUGACAGGACCCACCUCCACAAACAGCACACAUGUUACGUACCAUCAACUCCAUCUGGGAAAAGGAGCAGUUAAGUUACGAAACUAUUCUCAAUUGCUAAUAAAAAAAAUUAAUUAUGUAAAGUUCAUAUUUGUAAUUUAAGAAAAGAAAUUACAUGAUUAGUGCCUAAAUCAUUGUCUUAUUCUCACUCUAUCUCCCUUCUUCUCUUUAUGUUGUUUACGUACAAGUGUUACAAUGAGAACUGAGCAGGGUUAGAAUAUAGAAGUGUCAGGACUUGUAGCAUAACUGGUGCCGUACGCUAACCUUCUAUGUAAUUUUGUGAAUAUUGAAUAAAGAUAAACAGGCAUACACUAGACCUAUGAAAGGUGAUAAUAUAGGAUGAAGGAAUAUAACUUGUCAUCUUGGGGAGUAAUAAAGCAAAUGAAUUACAAUAAUCCACUCUUUGGAGCAUUUGUGAGCCACAAAUCAUGGCAGCAUAUGCUGUGAAGGGAAGCAAUUGAAUUCACAAGAAAACACAUUUAAAUUUCAAGAAAACCAUUGGGUUCACACCCAUGACACAAACAUUGAUUCACAUGCAUGGCAUUCAUUCAUUUUUACCUGCCAAAGCACUUAUUCUACAGUAAUUCUAUGAUUGAAUAAUUUUACUCAAGAAAUUUAUAACAGCUAAUACCAGCAAAAUAACAAACUGCUUCUUAAACAACUCAACAUGAUUAAUUAACAAUAAUUUAGGAACACAUUAUGCUUCCAUUUCCAUGACAGCAAAAGAAAUUCUCUUGGAUUAACUUCUAAGGUUUCCUUGAAACCAAUUAAGAUCAGCAGAGUAACAUAAAAGCACAUAAAUUAAUGGCACAUAUUAAAAAAAAGUUUUGAUUCUGAUACAACUGGGCAUUUUUAAGAUUACUAAGAAAGUACUCAUAGUUUCAUACUUGAUAAAGACGCAGUGGGCCAUAAUUGACAGGUCCCCAGUUUAUUUCUUUUGAAAUUAUGUGCCUGCAGGAACCAAAUAUUCCAGUCAGAUGGGGUUGAACCCCGUUUAAAGCACUCUUCUCCCACUUAACUGCCCCAUUUUGUUUUAAUCACGGAACAUGAGCUCACUCAACAAAGAGUGAACCAAAUAGAUCUAUCAAAGAUAAAACUCAGUAAAGAAGCUUAAAUCAACUCCUAAUUCUGACACUGUGAUUAAAAAGUUGAACAACAAACUUUAACCUCGCAUUACCUUUAAAAGCCAAGGAAGCAAGCACACCACUAAUGAGAACAUCCAAAUUUUCUGUCCGAAGUUUCCAACUACAAAAUCACUUUCAAAACUAUCUCCUCCUUCUCCAUUGCUACUCUCAUUAUUACAUUAAUCAUAACCUUAACAAUUCCACUAUCUAAUUCGAAUUGUUAUGCACACAAAAUAAUCAAAUAACCUGAGAAAAAAAAGAACUAGAUUCAAUCAAAUGGAAACGGCCAAAAUGAAUAAAUUUCAACAAGAAGAUGCGCAAAUUCAACCACUAAUAAUCAGUAAAAUUCGAGUGUUUGAAACCAAAAUACAAAGGAAUCAGAGGCUCGUAUCAAGCAUUAACAGUUUAUGAGACGCAAAAAAGCUACUCGCACUCUAAAACAGAGUAGUAAUUAACUAUUAGAGGCCGGGGGAGGUGCAGCAGAGUGUACCCUGUGAAAGCGCUCGGCAACUCCUCGAUGUGGUGCUCAAGCAUGACGUCAUCCUCGCCGUCGCUACCGCGCUGUGCAGCGGCAGCAGCGACUGCACGCAUCCCAGCUUAGACGGAGGCCUACAAGAGAAAGAGAAGCGGCGAGGAAUGGAAGAGGAAGGGAAAUGAGGAGAGGGAGAGGAAUAAAUGGUAGAUCUUGUGACAGGAGAUUUUGGAGCGUUGGAUCUAAUGAAGGAUUUAAUGGACGAUAGGGAUGAUCUGGAGAUGAAUCUGUUGCAAGAUGAGGCCAUGAUGGGAGAUGCAGAGAGAAAGGGUAAAGAUCUGGAAGAAAGGCUCCUAUGGCGUUAGGGUUUAGGGUUUUAGCUGCGCAGGCCAUAAAAUCAAGGCAUAGUGGAAGAG